GACGAACGCUGGCGGCGUGCUUAACACAUGCAAGUCGAACGGAAAGGCCCUGCUUUUGUGGGGUGCUCGAGUGGCGAACGGGUGAGUAACACGUGAGUAACCUGCCCUUGACUUUGGGAUAACUUCAGGAAACUGGGGCUAAUACCGGAUAGGAGCUCCUGCUGCAUGGUGGGGGUUGGAAAGUUUCGGCGGUUGGGGAUGGACUCGCGGCUUAUCAGCUUGUUGGUGGGGUAGUGGCUUACCAAGGCUUUGACGGGUAGCCGGCCUGAGAGGGUGAACGGCGACAUUGGGACUGAGAUACGGCCCAGACUCCUACGGGAAGCAGCAGUGGGGAAUAUUGCACAAUGGGCGGAAGCCUGAUGCAGCAACGCCGCGUGCGGGAUGACGGCCUUCGGGUUGUAAACCGCUUUCGCCUGUGACGAAGCGUGAGUGACGGUAAUGGGUAAAGAAGCAACGGCUAACUACGUG
rnacentral:rRNA from 1 species